rnacentral:rRNA from 1 species
UACGUAGGGCGCAAGCGUUAUCCGGAAUUAUUGGGCGUAAAGAGCUUGUAGGCGGUUUGUCGCGUCUGCCGUGAAAUUUCGAGGCUCAACCCCGGACUUGCAGUGGGUACGGGCAGACUAGAGUGUGGUAGGGGAGACUGGAAUUCCUGGUGUAGCGGUGAAAUGCGCAGAUAUCAGGAGGAACACCGAUGGCGAAGGCAGGUCUCUGGGCCACUACUGACGCUGAGAAGCGAAAGCAUGGGGAGCGAACAGG